AAAGUAUUUAGUCAGCCACAAAUUGUGCAAGUUCUCCCACUUAAAAAGAUGAGAGAGGCCUGUAAUUUUCAUCAUAGGUACACUUCAACUAUGACAGACAAAAUGAGAAGAAAAAAAAAAAAUCAAGAAAAUCACAUUGUGGGAUUUGUAAUGAAUUUAUUUGCAAAUUACGGUGGAAAAUAAGUAUUUGGUCAAUAACAAAAGUUUCUCAAUACUUUGUUAUAUACCCUUUGUUGGCAAUGACAGAGGUCAAACGUUUUCUGUAAGUCUUCACAAGGUUCACACACUGUUGCUGGUAUUUUGGCCCAUUCCUCCAUGCAGAUCUCCUCUAGAGCAGUGAUGUUUUGGGGCUGUUGCUGGGCAACACAGACUUUCAACUCUCUCCAAAGAUUUUCUAUGGGGUUGAGAUCUGGAGACUGGCUAGGCCACUCCAGGACCUUGAAAUGCUUCUUACGAAGCCACUCCUUCGUUGCCCGGGCGGUGUGUUUGGGAUCAUUGUCAUGCUGAAAGACCCAGCCACGUUUCAUCUUCAAUGCCCUUGCUGAUGGAAAGAGGUUUUCACUCAAAAUCUCACGAUACAUGGCCCCAUUCAUUCUUUCCUUUACACGGAUCAGUUGUCCUGGUCCCUUUGCAUAAAAACAGCCCCAAAGCAUGAUGUUUCCAACCCCCAUGCUUCACAUUAGGUAUGGUGUUCUUUGGAUGCAACUUAGCAUUCUUUGUCCUCCAAACACAACGAGUUGAGUUUUUACCAAAAAGUUAUAUUUUGGUUUCAUCUGACCAUAUGACAUUCUCCCAAUCUUCUGGAUCAUCCAAAUGCUCUCUAGCAAACUUCAGACGGGCCUGGACAUGUACUGGCUUAAGCAGGGGGACACGUCUGGCACUGCAGGAUUUGAGUCCCUGGCGGUGUAGUGUGUUACUGAUGGUAGGCUUUGUUACUUUGGUCCCAGCUCUCUGCAGGUCAUUCACUAGGUCCCCCCGUGUGGUUCUGGGAUUUUUGCUCACCGUUCUUGUGAUCAUUUUGACCCCACGGGGUGAGAUCUUGCGUGGAGCCCCAGAUCGAGGGAGAUUAUCAGUGGUCUUGUAUGUCUUCCAUUUCCUAGUAAUUGCUCCCACAGUUGAUUUCUUCAAAUCAAGCUGCUUACCUAUUGCAGAUUCAGUCUUCCCAGCCUGGUGGUCUACAAUUUUGUUUCUGGUGUCCUUUGACAGCUCUUUGGUCUUGGCUAUAGUGGCAUUUGGAGUGUGACUGUUUGAGGUUGUGGACAGGUGUAUUUUAUACUGAUAACAAGUUCAAACAGGUGCCAUUAAUACAGGUAACGAGUGGAGGACAGAGGAGCCUCUUAAAGGAAAAGUGAGAGCCAGAAAUCUUGCUUGUUUGUAGGUGACCAAAUACUUAUUUUCCACCAUAAUUUGCAAAUAAAUUCAUAAAAAAUCCUACAAUGUGAUUUUCUGGAUUUCCCCCCCUCAUUUUGUCUGUCAUAGUUGAAGUGUACCUAUGAUGAAAAUUACAGGCCUCUCUCAUCUUUUUAAGUGGGAGAACUUGCACAAUUGGUGGCUGACUAAAUACUUUUUUGCCCCACUGUAUGUCUAGACCAAAUGGAGAUCCUAACAUCUCAACUGAUGGUGGCAUCAUCAACGAUGAAGAUGAAUUCAGCCAUCAACACUGCUGGAUCAAAUCAACUCUUGCCUUGAUGACCUGGAGGAACGCAACAACUCACUGAAUGACAAACUACAUGAACUGUUGGAAUCUAACCUGCAGGCCUGGCAGGAGUUCAGAGUUCAGCUGAGCACCGAUACACCCCCAGGAGAGGAUCAACUGUCCCCAGACAAGGAUUCUCCGGCCUCUGAAGGGGAGAAGGGCGAAGAGGAUAAAGCUGGACUACUCAAUGUUAUACAAAACAGUCCAAUCUAUAUGAGCAUCUUUCCUUUCCUCAAGUGUUCGUGUGGUAACACGUAAGCAUGAUAAGAUUUUCCCUUCUCUGUCCCUUUCAUGUAGCACUUAUGAACCCUCCACUAAACUAUAGUUUUAAUCGAUACCCAGCUGUUGAACUUUUAAGAUGGUUCCUGCUUAGUUAAGAGCCAAAAGCUGAGUACAUUCUUUGUGUUGAAGUGACUAGUUUAUGCCACCAUCACCACUUACUAUAUAUACCAAUGUUUCAGCUUAGAUAUCCGUAUAGUCCUCAAUUGCCCCCAUGAUUAGUACUUAUUUAUCCAUUUGCAUGGUGUGGGGUGUAAAGCAUGCAGAAUAAGCUGAUUCAUUUUUGCCGAAUUGGUUUCUGUUCCAAAACGUUUUGCAACAAAAACAAUUUUCUAUUGCACAAAUUCAGGUAGGUCCCUCCCUGUUUCAUUUGCUAUGUUUGGCUCUAAGAUGGUAAAUGGGUUCUGUUGUAAGAUGUAAUGAAUACACUGGUGGUAGGUAAGCAGCAAAGUUAACCUCUGUGGGGCAAUACUCAAAAAAAUGUGAGCUUUGAUUGGUGAAUAUUUUUCUGUGACAUGCAAUAAGAGAUUGUGUUUGUGUUCCACUUUUUCCCAAAUCGGUUUUUCUUUGUCGGAUAUAAAAAUAGUAUAUUGAAUAUGUUACUGUUAAGUAUCUGAGUGUGACAUCUUGAAUCACUAACGUCAAGAACUAGCUCUUUAAAACAAUGUGAUAUUUAAUAAUCAGUGAGGCAAUUGUCAAAUUUUAUUAUUAUAAAUUAAAAUGACCCCAAUACAGAAAACACCCCAAAAAUACAUGGAACUUCCAGCUGCUAGAAAACACUCUUGUUCAUCGGUUUGUCAUUUGUAGAAUAAAAAUACAUUAAGAAACAUA